AUGGUACCACCUUCAGGAAUACAUGAGCAUAUCAGUGACCUCCUACUGUCCAAGGAGGGCACCGAUGUGACAUUCAAGGUUGGCGGGGAAGAGUUUGCUGCCCACCGGUGCGUGCUCGCAGCUCGGUCUGCAGUGUUCAAGGCAGAGCUCUUUGGCCCUACGAAGGACGGCAAAAUGGAAAGUGUCAUACAGAUCAAAGAUAUGGAAUCAAAAGUUUUCCGGGCCUUGCCUAGCUUUAUUUACACCGACUUACUGCCCGAAAUGGAGAUGAACACAAUGCAAGAAGGAAAAGCCCAAGAAACAUUGUGGCUGCAACAUUUGCUUGCAGCGGCGGAUAGAUAUGAUCUCCAAAGGCUGAAAGCACUAUGUGAAGAGAGGUUGUGUGAACAUAUAAACGUGAGCUCUGUGACAACUAUUCUUAUUCAAGCCGAGCAGCUCAACUGUUGUGGAUUGAAAGGGGUAUGCUUUGAGUUUCUCAAAACUACCACUAAUUUGAAAGAGAUAACAGCCGCAGACGGAUUGGACGACAUAACUAUAACAUGCCCCUCUCUUCUAAAAGAGCUCAUUGCCAAGCUUGUUUCCUAA
rnacentral:rRNA from 1 species